CAUAAGAUUAGUACCACAUAGCCCAGGUAUGUAGUAGGCUAUAUCACCUAGGUUUGUGUAAGGACACUCUGUGAUGUUCACACAACGAUGAAAUCACCUACUGAUCCAUUUCUCAGAACUUAUCUGUGUCCUUAGGUGACGCAUGGCUGUAUUUCCCUCUGUUCCGCAUACAAUGGCGCAACCUACCAAACCCCUUCACCUUUCCUCCCUCCUCAGAAGAUAAAGCCAAGAAGGAAAAAAGAAGAAAAGAGAGAAAAGGAAAUGAAAAAGGAGGGAAGAUGAGACAAGUAUGGUCGUAUAUUGAGUUCCGGAGUCUGGCUGAUAAUUAUAUGGGAGGCAGGAAGCUUUGAGGAGGAAUCAAAACUAGAGACAACUUGGUCGUAGAGUGUACCAAAGAAAUGAACAUGAAACCCAAAGAAAUUGUUGGCUAGUUGUAUUCCACUUCAGGCUAAACUCCUUGACCCUCAGGAGGUCUCCAUCUCUCUCUUUUAUCUUGAAGUCUACUCCAGGAACAACAACAACAAAAAGGAAGCUUGAAAAUGGUAUAGUGACUCUACCAACAAAUUUGGUGGCCUUAGGACAGGCAUUCUACAAC
rnacentral:lncRNA from 1 species